rnacentral:rRNA from 1 species
AGGGUUUGAUUAUGGCUCAGGAUGAACGCUGGCGGCGUGCCUAACACAUGCAAGUCGAACGGAGUUAUUUUGGAAAUCCCUUCGGGGAUGGAAUUCAUAACUUAGUGGCGGACGGGUGAGUAACGCGUGAGCAAUCUGCCCUUAGGUGGGGGAUAACAGCCGGAAACGGCUGCUAAUACCGCAUAAUGCAGCGGAACCGCAUGGUUUUGCUGCCAAAGAUUUAUUGCCUUUGGAUGAGCUCGCGUCUGAUUAGCUGGUUGGCGGGGUAACGGCCCACCAAGGCGACGAUCAGUAGCCGGACUGAGAGGUUGAACGGCCACAUUGGGACUGAGACACGGCCCAG